rnacentral:rRNA from 1 species
CCUACGGGAGGCAGCAGUGGGGAAUAUUGCACAAUGGGGGGAACCUUGAUGCAGCAACGCCGCGUGGGUGAAGAAGUACUCCGGUAUGUAAAGCCCUGUCAGCAGGGAAGAAAAUGACGGUACCUGACCAAGAAGCACCGGCUAACUACGUGCCAGCAGCCGCGGUACUACGUAGGGGGCAAGCGUUAUCCGGAUUUACUGGGCGUAAAGUGAGCGUAGACGGCAAGGCAAGUCUGGAGUGAAAGCCUGUGGCCCAACCACGGGACUGCUUUGGAAACUGUGAUGCUGGAGUUCAGGAGGGGUAAGCGGAAUUCCUAGUGUAGCGGUGAAAUGCGUAGAUAUUAAGAGGAACACCUGUGGCGAAGGCGGCUUACUGGACUGUAACUGACGUUGAGGCUCGAAGGCGUGGGGAGCAAACAAGAUUAGAUACCCUAGUAGUC